CGUGAGGAAUUCAAUAAAUGAAGGUUGGUUUCGGCCCAUCACGAGAGUAUACUCUUACUCCCUCAUGU
rnacentral:tRNA from 1 species